rnacentral:misc_RNA from 1 species
GCAUAACUUCCUGCUUCAGCUGAUAUUUCCGGAUCUUGUCCAAAUAAUACGAGAAGAUACCCUGCAUUAGCCCAAACGAAAGCCACAGGAACACUAACCAGUAGAAGCACAAGCAUUGCCCUUUGCAUAUGGAUACCAAGCAUAUGAUACUGCUUUGCACCAUAUGAUUGCCCACAUAAAGUUUCCAAUGCACUUCCCAUUCCCAUCAUCAAGCUUAGGCCAGUUACAGAGGCAAAUGAAGUAGCCAUUGAAGCA